rnacentral:rRNA from 1 species
GAUGAACGCUGGCGGCGUGCUUAACACAUGCAAGUCGAACGGUGAAGCAGAGCUUGCUCUGUGGAUCAGUGGCGAACGGGUGAGUAACACGUGAGCAACCUGCCCUGGACUCUGGGAUAAGCGCUGUAAACGGCGUCUAAUACUGGAUACGAGACGUGGCCGCAUGGUCGACGUUUGGAAAGAUUUUUUGGUUCAGGAUGAGCUCGCGGCCUAUCAGCUUGUUGGUGAGGUAAUGGCUCACCAAGGCGUCGACGGGUAGCCGGCCUGAGAGGGUGACCGGCCACACUGGGACUGAGACACGGCCCAGACUCCUACGGGAGGCAGCAGUGGGGAAUAUUGCACAAUGGGCGAAAGCCUGAUGCAGCAACGCCGCGUGAGGGAUGACGGCCUUCGGGUUGUAAACCUCUUUUAGCAAGGAAGAAGCGAAAGUGACGGUACUUGCAGAAAAAGCGCCGGCUAACUACGUGCCAGCAGCCGCCGUAACAC